rnacentral:rRNA from 1 species
GACAGAGGGUGCAAACGUUGUUCGGAAUUACUGGGCGUAAAGCGCGUGUAGGCGGCUAAGUAAGUCGGGCGUGAAAUCCCACGGCUCAACCGUGGAAAGUGCACUCGAAACUGCAUAGCUAGAGUCCUGGAGAGGAAGGUGGAAUGCUUGGUGUAGAGGUGAAAUUCGUAGAUAUCAAGCGGAACACCGGUGGCGAAGGCGGCCUUCUGGACAGUGACUGACGCUGAGACGCGAAAGCGUGGGGAGCAAACAGG